AAUGACUCAGACACCAGUCUUGUCGAGGCUAAAUCGAGAGAGGAUCACCUGAUGUCAACAUACGAGUUUUCAAGAAGAACUUCCUGAACUUUGUGUCUGUGUGAGACUCUACCAUGCUGGGUGCCCUCUUCAGUGAAGUCUGGACACAGAGACUCAUUGCUCUUAAUCAACUCUGGGCAAGUGGCUAAUCUUUUGCUUAUUCAUGGGAUAUCCUUCAUGUCCACAUCCUGUUUCUUCAAGAUCUCAACAAUGCUUUGUGAGUAUACAACACAUGUGAGUGGAUCAGUUCAACCUGUUUUUCACAGAAUGUUAGUUUCUUAAGGUUUUCAUCAACGAUGGUUUGUAUCUUGUUUUCCAAAAGGUGUUAUUAAGAUAUUUCCAUUUGUAAUUUACAAUAAUCAAAUGUUGACUGUAAAAUCUAUGCCAACCUAUUGUUAUACACUGUACCAUGUUUUGCAAAGGAAUUCUGGUGACUUUAGUUGCCAGCAACUUCCUUUGAACUUUGUAAUAAAAUACCGUAACUGUAAUAAAGUUUACAGUAUAACUGUU